GCCUCCGUAGCAUAGUGGUAUUGCGGCGCUCUCGUAAAGCGCAGGUCGCGGGUUCAAAUCCUGCCGGAGGCU
rnacentral:tRNA from 1 species